rnacentral:rRNA from 1 species
UACGGAGGGGGCUAGCGUUGUUCGGAAUUACUGGGCGUAAAGCGCACGUAGGCGGCUUUGUAAGUUAGAGGUGAAAGCCCGGGGCUCAACUCCGGAAUUGCCUUUAAGACUGCAUCGCUAGAAUCGUGGAGAGGUGAGUGGAAUUCCGAGUGUAGAGGUGAAAUUCAUAGAUAUUCGGAAGAACACCAGUGGCGAAGGCGACUCACUGGACACGUAUUGACGCUGAGGUGCGAAAGCGUGGGGAGCAAACAGG